rnacentral:piRNA from 1 species
UGAGUGACCUGCUUGUUCUUCUCUACCC